rnacentral:misc_RNA from 1 species
UCCGAGUUGACCCCGGCAGUCUCCUAUGAGUCCCCACCAUCACGUGCUGGCAACAUAGAACGAGGGUUGCGCUCGUUGCGGGACUUAACCCAACAUCUCACGACACGAGCUGACGACAACCAUGCACCACCUGUGAACCGGCCCCAAAGGGGAAACCACAUUUCUGCGGCGAUCCGGCCCAUGUCAAGCCUUGGUAAGGUUCUUCGCGUUGCAUCGAAUUAAGCCACAUACUCCACCGCUUGUGCAGGCCCCCGUCAAUUCCUUUGAGUUUCAACCUUGCGGCCGUACUCCCCAGGCGGAGUGCUUACUGCGUUAGCUUCGGCACGGACGGAGUCGACACCGCCCACACCUAGCACCCAUCGUUUACGGCGUGGACUAC